AACUGUGCGCCGGGUUUUUGCUCAGCACCGCUCAGCACCUCCACCGGACCGCCCCCUCCACACCCCCCAGCCACCCCCAGGGAUCAGCACGCCCUUGCAAAUCACCCUCAGGUCCAUCACGUGCCUGUACCAGCCCACGCCUGCACGCCUGCACGCCUGCACGCACAGUCUCAGUGUCCCUGCCGCCCGUGGACCAGCGCGGGCGUGGCUUGGCGUGUCCUGGACGUGAACACAUCGAACACAACAGAACACUUGCGUGGAAAGAAAUUACGAGUGUGUUGGCGUGCGUUUCCCUAAGCCUGUGUGUGCGCGCAUGUGUGUGUCUCCAUGUGCGUGUGUGCGCGGCAUGUAGGGAUCAAAUCUGCCCUGAAAAUGUGUGCGUGUGCGGGUACGUGAGUGUGUGUGUGGGUGUGCGGGAUUGCGUGGGUGUGUGGGUGUGUGUGGGUGUGCUUGCGUGUGUGUGUGUGACUGUCACGUGCAUGGAAGGCUUCAUGAGUAAUAUUGGCCAGUGAAAAACAAGGUAACAGAAAACUGACUUGAAAAUAAUAAGACAAUAAAAUAAAAUAGAAUAAAUAUCAAAGCAACAAACAAAAAUAACGACAUUGUGAAAUUGAAAACAAAGAAAGUCAGGAAGAAAAGAAAAAGAAAGACAAACUUGAAGAACAACAACAACAGCUUAAAAGAAUACAAAAGUACAUCGUGAAAUUGGAACACAAAGAGUCAAGAAAAUUUGUCAAGGGAAAAAAUUGAGAAUAAUUCACGAAAUAUUAGUGAAACAUUUCAGAAGGGGAGAAUUUGAGAAUCACACACGAAACACAAGUAGUGAAACAUUUUACAGAGGAAAAUUUAAGAAUCACACGAAAUAUAACAAGUGAGACAUUAUAGAACACAAAACUGGAAAAGUGUUGAGUGUUCUAACAAAGAGGACAACAAAACUGUAUAUCAUUGAGGCGAACGAAAGUAAUACGAUAAAAACACCAUCGUUUCAGAAAAUAUGA